UCUGAGACACGAAUCCAGGCCCUACGGGGUGCAGCAGGCGCGAAAACUUUACAAUGCCGGCAACGGCGAUAAGGGGACCUCGAGUGCCAGGUUACAAAUCUGGCUGUCGUGAUGCCUAAAAAGCAUUGCAUAGCAAGGGCCGGGCAAGACCGGUGCCAGCCGCCGCGGUAACACCGGCGGCUCGAGUGGUAACCGUUAUUAUUGGGUCUAAAGGGUCUGUAGCCGGCCGGAUAAGUCUCUUGAGAAAUCUGGCAGCUUAACUGUCAGGCUUUCAGGAGAUACUGUCUGGCUCGAGGCCGGGAGAGGUGAGAGGUACUUCAGGGGUAGGGGUGAAAUCUUGUAAUCCUUGAAGGGCCACCAGUGGCGAAGGCGUCUCACCAGAACGGACCUGACGGCAAGGGACGAAAGCUAGGGGCACGAACCGGAUUAGAUACCCGGGUAGUCCUAGCCGUAAACGAUACUCGCUAGGUGUCGGCCACGGUGCGACCGUUGUCGGUGCCGUAGGGAAGCCGUGAAGCGAGC
rnacentral:rRNA from 1 species